rnacentral:rRNA from 1 species
GGCUUUUUAGAGGGACUAUCGGCUAAAGCCGAUGGAAGUUUGAGGCAAUAACAGGUCUGUGAUGCCCUUAGAUGUUCUGGGCCGCACGCGCGCUACACUGACAGAGCCAGCGAGUCUACCACCUUUGCCGGAAGGCAUGGGUAAUCUUGUGAAACUCUGUCGUGAUGGGGAUAGAACAUUGCAAUUAUUGUUCUUCAACGAGGAAUACCUAGUAAGCGUGAUUCAUCAGAUCGCGUUGAUUACGUCCCUGCCCUU